UGCCAGUGAUAAACUGGAGGAAGGUGGGGAUGACGUCAAGUCAUCAUGGCCCUUACGACCAGGGCUACACACGUGCUACAAUGGCAUAUACAAAGAGAAGCGACCUCGCGAGAGCAAGCGGACCUCAUAAAGUAUGUCGUAGUCCGGAUUGGAGUCUGCAACUCGACUCCAUGAAGUCGGAAUCGCUAGUAAUCGUAGAUCAGAAUGCUACGGUGAAUACGUUCCCGGGCCUUGUACACACCGCCCGUCACACCAUGGGAGUGGGUUGCAAAAGAAGUAGGUAGCUUAACCUUCGGGAGGGCGCUUACCACUUUGUGAUUCAUGACUGGGGUGAAGUCGUAACAAGGUAACCGUAGGG
rnacentral:rRNA from 2 species